UACAGAGGUCUCAAGCGUUGUUCGGAUUCAUUGGGCGUAAAGGGUGCGUAGGCGGCGCGGUAAGUCGGAUGUGAAAUCUCGGGGCUUAACUCCGAAACUGCAUUCGAUACUGCCGUGCUUGAGGACUGGAGAGGAGACUGGAAUUUACGGUGUAGCGGUGAAAUGCGUAGAUAUCGUAAGGAAGACCAGUGGCGAAGGCGGGUCUCUGGACAGUUCCUGACGCUGAGGCACGAAAGCCAGGGGAGCAAACGGG
rnacentral:rRNA from 1 species